UGCUAUCUGCGAAUGUAUAAGAUUCGAACCUGCAGCAGGUUCGAGUCGAACGAAGUGAGACAACGGAGCCGCUUGCGGCGACGACCCGAAGGGUGAGGCGAAGCCGAAUCAUCCUGCACGACCCACCA
rnacentral:sRNA from 1 species